GUGCCAGCGCGGUAAUACGAAGGGGGCUAGCGUUGUUCGGAAUUACUGGGCGUAAAGCGCACGUAGGCGGAUCGAUCAGUCAGGGGUGAAAUCCCAGGGCUCAACCCUGGAACUGCCUUUGAUACUGUCGAUCUGGAGUAUGGAAGAGGUGAGUGGAAUUCCGAGUGUAGAGGUGAAAUUCGUAGAUAUUCGGAGGAACACCAGUGGCGAAGGCGGCUCACUGGUCCAUUACUGACGCUGAGGUGCGAAAGCGUGGGGAGCAAACAGG
rnacentral:rRNA from 1 species